CCUACGGGGGGCUGCAGUCGAGAAUCAUUCACAAUGGGGGAAACCCUGAUGGUGCGACGCCGCGUGGGGGAAUGAAGGUCUUCGGAUUGUAAACCCCUGUCAUGUGGGAGCAAAUUAAAAAGAUAGUACCACAAGAGGAAGAGACGGCUAACUCUGUGCCAGCAGCCGCGGUAAUACAGAGGUCUCAAGCGUUGUUCGGAAUCACUGGGCGUAAAGCGUGCGUAGGCUGUUUCGUAAGUCGUGUGUGAAAGGCGCGGGCUCAACCCGCGGACGGCACAUGAUACUGCGAGACUAGAGUAAGGGAGGGGGAACCGGAAGUCUCGGUGUAGCAGUGAAAUGCGUAGAUAUCGAGAGGAACACUCGUGGCGAAGGCGGGUUCCUGGACAUUAACUGACGCUGAGGCACGAAGGCCAGGGGAGCGAAAGGGAUUAGAUACCCUAGUAGUC
rnacentral:rRNA from 1 species